GGGUGACUCCUUGGCGCUUGCGCGCUGUUUUGAUGAAGAUUCGCACCUCUAUCAAAACGGGUAACCCAACCUCUUGGCAAGGCCCUACUGUCAGAUCAAGUCUGAACUUCUACAUCUUAUAUAUUGAAAUUGUAAGCACCCGCUUCUGUCGGAUCUUCCAGUCUCACGAUUUGAUACGAUUGCCAAUCUCGGACAGUCU
rnacentral:sRNA from 1 species